rnacentral:rRNA from 1 species
UGCGUAACACGUAUCCAACCUACCCAUGGCUCAGGGAUAGCCUUCCGAAAGAAAGAUUAAUACCUGAUGGCCUCCCCUUGGGGACAUCCCUUGGGGAGUAAAGAUUCAUCGGCGAUGGAUGGGGAUGCGUCCGAUUAGCUGUUGGCGGGCAACGGCCCACCAAGGCGUCGAUCGGUAGGGGCUCUGAGAGGAGGGUCCCCACACUGGAACUGAGACACGGUCCAGACUCCUACGGGAGGCAGCAGUGAGGAAUAUUGGUCAAUGGGCGAGAGCCUGAACCAGCCAAGUAGCGUGAGGGAAGACUGCCCUACGGGUUGUAAACCUCUUUUGUUUGGGAAUAAAGUGCCGCACGUGUGCGGUUUUGUAUGUACCUUACGAAUAAGCAUCGGCUAAUUCCGUGCC